rnacentral:rRNA from 1 species
UACGAAGGGGGCUAGCGUUGCUCGGAAUCACUGGGCGUAAAGCGCACGUAGGCGGCUUUCUAAGUCAGGGGUGAAAUCCUGGAGCUCAACUCCAGAACUGCCUUUGAUACUGGAGAGCUUGAGUCCGGAAGAGGUGAGUGGAACUCCGAGUGUAGAGGUGAAAUUCGUAGAUAUUCGGAAGAACACCAGUGGCGAAGGCGACUCGCUGGACAAGUAUUGACGCUGAGGUGCGAAAGCGUGGGGAGCAAACAGG